rnacentral:miRNA from 1 species
AUCCAACAACAAGGGACGUGUUAG